rnacentral:rRNA from 1 species
AGAGUUUGAUCAUGGCUCAGGACGAACGCUGGCGGCGUGCUUAACACAUGCAAGUCGAACGAUGAAGCCCAGCUUGCUGGGUGGAAGAGUGGCGAACGGGUGAGUAACACGUGAGUAACCUGCCCCGGACUCUGGGAUAAGCGCUGGAAACGGCGUCUAAUACUGGAUAUGACCCAUACCGGCAUCGGUUGUGGGUGGAAAGAUUUAUCGGUUCGGGAUGGGCUCGCGGCCUAUCAGCUGGAUGGUGAGGUAACGGCUCACCAUGGCGACGACGGGUAGCCGGCCUGAGAGGGUGACCGGCCACACUGGGACUGAGACACGGCCCAGACCCCUACGGGAGGCAGCAGUGGGGAAUAUUGCACAAUGGGCGAAAGCCUGAUGCAGCAACGCCGCGUGAGGGAUGACGGCCUUCGGGUUGUAAACCUCUUUUAGUAGGGAAGAAGCGAAAGUGACGGUACCUGCAGAAAAAGCACCGGCUAACUACGUGCCAGCAGCCGCGGUAAUA